rnacentral:lncRNA from 1 species
ACUUGUUUUUGGUAAUUGGUAACUGGGACAAAGUUUAUUGAAAUAUCUUUAGCUCCCCAAAUGUGCACUGUCAUUGUUGCCACAGGUGAACUGCUCAUUGCAGUGAUGUGAAAAGGUGAGGUCACAGGACACAAACCCAUAUCUGAGACCUGGAUGCCUCCCUCCACGCACUCACCCACUGGCUGUCCUGAGCAUCACCCUGCACCUGUUGUCCCAGCAACAAGGGAAAAAUAAGGUCUAUUGCUCAGGCUGGAGUGAAGUGGUGCAAUUGUGGCUCACUGCAGCCUUGAAUACCUCAGCUCAAACGAUCCUCCCACCUCAGCCUCCUGAGUAGCUGGGACCACAGGCAUGUGCCACCACACUCAGCACACUUAAAAAAAAUUUUUGUAGAGACAGGUUCUCCCUAUGUUGCUCAGGCUGGUCUCCUGGCCUCAAGCAAUCCUCUUGCUUCAGCCUCCCAAAGUGUUGGGAUUAUAGGCAUAAGCCAUUCACACCCAGCCUAUUUUUAAGUUCUCUAAUAUAAUUUGGAAAUUAAUUUGCCAGCUGCCCUGUCUUAUCUGCAUGAACAUUUCCAAGAUUUGUAGAGGUGUUUCUAUGACACCUCCAUGCCUGUGAUCAUGUAUAAGAUGUAGCUGAUUGAAUUACCUUAUUCUGUUCAGAAAUAGUAAAUAUAGUGUUUUCACCAACUCUGUGCACAGAAUAUACCAAAUGGAGACCAUAAGUGUGUCAUGACAGAAAAAAUCUAUUGUCUCUUUAUUAUGGUGAGACUCCUUUCCCUCAUGAAAUCAGCAAAGAAAAGUAAAUGAAUUUAGCUUUUUGUGUUAGAAAAAAACAUUAUGCUCUUCAGCGGUUUUCAGAAUUGCAUUAUUUUUGAUCUUUCCUCUUGUUUAAGAAUGUUUUCAUGUCAUCCCCAGGCUCAGUGCUCAUGUUGGUACUAUUUUGGGUCAAUGUAUAAUCAUUACCUCCAGUUUUUCUUGUGCAUAAUGGACUUGAGUUUUAAUAUAGUGAACCAUCCUGACAUUGAAAUACUGUAUUUGAUAUUUUCAUAUUCACAAGUCCUCAUUUUCUUUCUACACUCAUGGUAAUUUAGUUUCUCCUCUGCAGUGUUUUCCCUCCUACUUGUUUUCCUGCUCCCUUGCUUAGCACAUGGUCAUUCCAUUAUGC